rnacentral:rRNA from 1 species
AGCAGCCGCGGUAAUUCCAGCUCCAAUAGCGUAUAUUAAAGUUGUUGCAGUUAAAAAGCUCGUAGUUGAAUUUCGGGGUCAGCAGGUUGGUCGUGCCUAUGGUAUGCACUGGCCUUGCUGAUUCCUCCCUCUUGAUGAGCCGUAAUGUCAUUAAUUUGGUGUUGCGGGGAAUCAGGACUGUUACUUUGAAAAAAUUAGAGUGCUUAAAGCGGGCUAGUGCUUGAAUAGAUUAGCAUGGAAUAAUAAAAUAGGACGGCAUGAUUCUAUUUUGUUGGUUUCUAGGAUCACCGUAAUGAUUAAUAGGGAUAGUUGGGGGCAUUAGUAUUCAAUUGUCAGAGGUGAAAUUCUUGGAUUUAUUGAAGACUAACUUCUGCGAAAGCAUUUGCCAAGGAUGUUUUCAUUAAUCAAGAACGAAAGUUAGGGGAUCGAAGACGAUCAGAUACCGUCGUAGUCUUAACCAUAAACUAUGCCGACUAGGAAUCGGACGAAGUUAAUUUUAUAAUGACCCG